CCCUUAGAUGUCCUGGGCCGCACGCGCGCUACACUGAUGCAUUCAACGAGUGACCUUAGCCGAGAGGCCUGGGCAAUCUUUUGAACGUGCAUCGUGAUAGGGAUAGAUUAUUGCAAUUAUUAAUCUUGAACGAGGAAUUCCUAGUAAACGCAGAUCAUCAUUCUGCAUUGAUUACGUCCCUGCCCUUUGUACACACCGCCCGUCGCUCCUACCGAUUGGGUGUGCUGGUGAAAUGUUCGGAUCGGCCGUUUGUCGCGGUUUCCGCGUCAUGUGGCUGAGAAGUUCAUUAAACCCUCCCACCUAGAGGAAGGAGAAGUCGUAACA
rnacentral:rRNA from 1 species